UUCGGUGGCCAUGGCGGAGGGGUCACACCCGUUCCCAUCCCGAACACGGAAGUUAAGCCCUCCAGCGCCGAUGGUACUUGGCAGGAGACUGCCUGGGAGAGUAGGACGCCGCCGGAU
rnacentral:rRNA from 1 species